AGGGUUCGAUUCUGGCUCAGGAUGAACGCUAGCGGCAGGCCUAACACAUGCAAGUCGAGGGGUAACAUAAAAAAGCUUGCUUUUUUGAUGACGACCGGCGCACGGGUGCGUAACGCGUAUACAAUCUGCCUUAUACUGGGGUAUAGCCUUUAGAAAUGAAGAUUAAUCCCCCAUAGUCUCUUUAAAUGGCAUCAUUUUAAGAGUAAAGGUUACGGUAUAAGAUGAGUAUGCGUUCUAUUAGUUUGUUGGUGAGGUAAUGGCUCACCAAGACUACGAUAGAUAGGGGCCCUGAGAGGGGGAUCCCCCACACUGGUACUGAGACACGGACCAGACUCCUACGGGAGGCAGCAGUGAGGAAUAUUGGACAAUGGAGGAAACUCUGAUCCAGCCAUGCCGCGUGCAGGAAGACUGCCCUAUGGGUUGUAAACUGCUUUUAUACAGGAAGAAACCGCUCUACGUGUAGAGCUCUGACGGUACUGUAAGAAUAAGGAUCGGCUAACUCCGUGCCAGCCGCCGCGGUAAUAC
rnacentral:rRNA from 1 species